UUUCACACAGAGUUUCACUCACAGUUCACAGCUCAGUCAUUUAACAACUUAUAUGACACCGGACUUUCAUGGGGACAGGUCCACCACGGAGCUAUCGUCUUUUUGACUUCUACGACGAUGACAGCUCUGGUGUUUGAAUGACCAUGUGUGGAAAUCACUGAAACUUCCAUAUCUAAAGGAAGAAACUGGAAUUUUGUUGAGGAGACAAGAAGACAAGACACCUGCUCACAGUUUCAUAAUAAUCUCAACGAGACAGUGGACCAACUAAGAAAUCACUUCCACUGAGGAGUGGAUUCAAAACAGCGCCUUUAAAAUUUGAUCAGAAAUGUCUAAUUCACUGCAGACGCAUCAAACGGAGGAUGAAGAGGUACAACUGAAUCUCAUCGCAGGGUCAGGUGACACACCAAAUAGUAAUACUUCAAAUCAAGUAAUCACCAUCACUGGACCGGGGGCGGCCUCGUGCUGCAAUGACAAGAACCACAGGAAACUCGCCAUCUGCAGCAUCAUCUGUGGCAUCACCUGCAUUGGAAUAAAAUCUCUGAUAAAUUCAGUCAAGGCUGAGGAGACGACGGAUCUAGAGAAAGCUGCUGAGUAUUCACACCAGGCAAAAAAGUUUGGCAUCAUCUCCAUCGUGAUGUGGGUCACCAUUCUGGCUUUAACUCCCAUACUAAUGGCACUGAUCUCCUAUCUUCUCACUCUGCAAGACUGAUCAUUACCAGAGGAGUGGACAGACAGCGGACAGUAAAAAAAAAAGCUGUUUACCAACUAUGAAAUACCAUGAAGACAUGAAGAAAGUGGGAAACGGGACACAAACAGACUGCUUUGUGCAGACGAAAAGACUGCUCUCCCAGUUUACACGUUCCUAUUUCCUCUUAACCUUUUUUACACAAGGAACAACCACUCUGGAAAAUGGUAUUAAAAUGUUUGCAUGUUUUUAUAUAUGCUGUAAUAUUUAUUUAACAAUAUAUGCACAUAUGGACAAUUAAAAAUCUAAAUGACCAUAUAAAAUCCAGCAUCAACUAUAGUUUGCAACAUGGCACUACAUGACACAUGUACAUUAUACUGUAUAAUAAGGAUAAGAAAUGUCAUUCCCCAAUAAUGACCCAAUCCUUGAUAUUUUUGCACUUUAAAUGCCAUUACAAUUUAACAUACUCAUUUUUAGUAUAUAUAUGUGCAGAUACUACAAAAGUUAAUAAAUUACUCAAUCUGUCAAUCUAAAAAGUAGCAAAGUGAACGAGUUCAUCGAGGAUUGGGUCUUUACUCUCUAACAAAAUGGGAUGACAGUGAUCGUGGCAGUGCUUCUUCAGAACAGUUGUUGCCAAUAUUAUCUUGGCAUUAUUGCAUUGUUACCAUAUUAGCUUUAUUAAUGUCCCAUGUAUCAAUGUUUUACUUUUAUACAAACAGAAACAAUGUCAUAAUAAAACAACAGGAACCUCUGUGCUCUGAGCUGCAUGAAGCAUCUUGACAUGCUGUCAUUAACACAGCGAGGAUUACAAAUACACCUUCAAAACAUCUAAAGGGAAAUUCUUACAGUUAAAGAGCCAGUGUGUAAGAUUUAGGGGAUCUACUGGCAGAAUUUGGCAGAAGUGGAAUAUAAUAUCCAGAAGUAAGUUUUCAAUAGUGUAGACUCACCUGAAAUCUGCAACCUAGACGCCACUAAAUCCUACACACUGGUCCUUCAAGGCAACCUCAUAAAAAAUUUGGCCAAAAAAAAAAAAAAAAAAAUUGUCAUACAUAGUCAGUUAAGAAGUAGUUAAAUUUGCAAUACAAAUAUAGACACCACAAAACAAUCCAGAGAGGAACACAGGCAAUAAAAAGCCAACAAACCGUGGAGUCUGGACACCCCCACACUUGAUUAGAAAUGCUCUCUGGAGUGUCUGUUUCCAAGCUAUAUUUUAUACAAAAAAAAAAAAAAAAAAAAAACCCUUUUCAGCCAUAAAUUUACAAACACCAGAAAUUGACGAGUUGAGCAGCGUCUGCCCUGAGCUAAGUAACGCGAUUCACAGAGAUGCUGCUUGCAGACACUUUUGACCGUACAAUAAAACUCACGGACAGAAACUUAGUUGAGAAAUUGGUUGAAGUGAAUACAAAUCUCUUGCUGGCAUGUUUUAAACCUCUAUUCAGCGUUUAAUAAAAAAUAGCUGCCUUUAUAAAAUAACUUAUAAUGAUGCUGCACGAUCGGACGAGACGGUGCAAAAGAAAUCUGCUGUAUUCUAUUAACAGUCAUUGUGUCAAAACAGCAUCAUCACUCACCCAGGGGAGUUAGGCAGAUUUGUACACUCUGGGUAAGUCUGAGAUUUGAAAAACUGAAGAUAUACCGAAAAUGCUAUGACACUGAACACUGAGCUUUUCAAUGAACUUCUGUUUCGUUUCACUUAUCACGGAUGGAAAGUGGUCGAGGGAAUAUCGGACGGCAGAGGUUUGAGUGUAGUAAUGACAAAACAGCGACGUAUCGUAGAAUUCAUUUAACCACUAUGUUUAUAACCAAAAUCUAUGAGGCAAUACACUUAUGCUUAGAUUUCACCGGGCUCUAUGACUGAACAUGUGACACAGUCCUCUUUCGUCCUCCACAGGUUUUCACUACCGGCCGGGGCCGUCCUG